rnacentral:rRNA from 1 species
UACGGGGGGGGUAAGCGUUGUUCGGAAUUACUGGGCGUAAAGGGCUCGUAGGCGGCCAACUAAGUCAGACGUGGAAUCCCUCAGCUUAACUGGGGAACUGCGUCUGAUACUGGAUGGCUUGGAUUCGGGAGAGGAAUGCGGAAUUCCAGGUGUAGCGGUGAAAUGCGUAGAUAUCUGGAGGAACACCGGUGGCGAAGGCGGCAUUCUGGACCGACAUUGACGCUGAGGAGCGAAAGCCAGGGGAGCAAACGGG